AAGAAGAAGAAGAAGAAGAAGAAGAAGAAGAAGAAGAAGAGAUCAAUAGAUCUCACUCCCUAGAGGGCGCUGUCAAAAAAUGUUGGUACUGACAUUUUCAGAAUUGGGGUAGAGGUCACUUGACAUUAAGACAGGUGCGGCUCAGAGUCUGUCUCCAGGGUGUGUUGCUUAGAAAAAAAGGCCAGGCCGGAAGUGACAGCCUCAUGAACAUGCAAAGGAGGACAUUUGUUUUGUUGGGUAAACAAAUCUGAGGCAUGAAGGUGGUUCAGAGAACUAUGCAAGGACAACAGAGGUCGCCCGACUGAGCAGAGCUUUCUCCGAAGAAGAAGAAGAAGACGUGAGGAGCAUAACUUUGAAACUGACGGACAUUAAAUAGAAACACAUGCUCAUUCAUUCACCCACACGCUCAUUCUGUCUGAGUGCAAUCACACAACUUCUCUCACUUACUCAUCUUUUCAGAGAACAGUCAGCACUUAUGGUUAAAGCCAUCUUUUGCAACCAGAAUGUCUGACGAAAAAAGCAACAAGCAAUCUGUCAUUGGGCUGUUCACUGUGUUAUGAAGCAAUGACACCAGACAGAUUAUUGAGACAUGCUGUAUCUCCACACCUACUGGCAUUCAUUCAUCCACAACAAGUUAAAGGAAUUCAUUAGUCGAUUAGCAGAAAAAUAAUCGCUUGAGUCACAGAAAUACCAAACGGUCACUAGCUCCAGCGAACAGCUUUUCUUUGUCUUAAGUGGUAAUAAACGACUAUAUUUAGGUUUUUGAGUGUUGUUAAGACAAAACAAACAAUUUAAUGGACAUUUUUCUCUUCGGUUUUUGACGAUUAAUUGACAAAAAAUUGGCACAUUACUAUAAUAAUAAUUAAUACAUUUUUAAUUCACUGGGAAUGGCUUUACAACACAUCAUUGUUUAUUGUAGGAGAAGGUUAGGUGGCAGUCGUUGGCAGUGAGAAGAGGAUGACACGGCAUUUUAUUUAUUUACAAAGCACUUCUUGGCAAAGUACCUGCAUUGGUAUCUUACAUGUCUUUUUAAUUAUAGAUCAUCUUCACACUGCACUAGGCCUGUUUGAUGUACAAUUUAGUGAUGUGUUUUGUAACUUUGAUGAGCUUCUAUUGUCGUUACUGUAAUGUAUUGUACUGUAAUCAGGGUCUCCUUGAAAAAUAAAGCUUGCUCUUCAUGGCUUCCCCUAAAGAAAGGUUAUAAUAAUUGCAUUCCUAAUUUGUUGUUACAUGAUGGAGUACGACUUUACCUGACCUCUGAUGCUCCCUCGUUUGUUGUUCAAAAGUUAUUUAUAGGCUAUUAAAUAGACUUUUGUAUUCCGCAC